GUUCUACCACUACUAAAAAAAGGAGCUUCAACGACGCACCUUCAACAAUGGUCACAAGCCAACUGUCUUAGUAAGGAUGCAGUGGCAUUUAGGUAAAUAAAUGUCAACUCAAUAAAGACGGUGUUCAAAAACCCGUCUUUAAAUGAACUAUACAGCGAAGGUUGUUGCAAAGAUCGUCUUAGUAUGGUCUUCAGUGGCAUUUUUGAAUUAAUGACAUACAAAGACGGUGUUAUUAAUACAUUGUCGUUAAAUUCAAUUAUAUAAUUGAAUUUUCGAUGGGCCCUGUGUCUCGCUCAAUCGAAAGCUUGGAGAUCGAAAUACGGUAUUUGAGAUUACCUAUAACUUUGGAGAUUGAAAGACUAGCCAUGUGCCCACUUUGUUAGAAAGCGCUUGGAGAUCAAAAUUGUGAAGCCCUUUCUACGGCGUCUUCUGUAUCAUAUUGUGAAGCCCUUUCCACGGAACGAACCCUCAGUCCCUGUUUUCCAGGAAAUGAGCCUCUGUCGCACCACCGUGAGCUGAGGCUGGUGUCGUGGCCUUAGUGUGGCGCGCGCCCUAGCUAGGCUAAAGUUAUUGUGAGCUGCAACUAUUUGUUAAAUUGUUCGUUCGGUAAGCUUCCCUUAUGUUGUGCUUAAUGUUUCAAAGUUGUAAGCACUAUAUUCUUAUUGUUUUGUGUGCUAACCAUCGUUUCAACGGUUUUCGUGUGCAAGGAAAUUCUCCAAGUCUACUAAGUUGUUGCAUGAAGCAAAACCAACCCACAUCAUCUCUCUCUGUCUCUCAUUUUGAUUGAGUGUUGUGUACAAAAGGAGGAAUUAUGUUGUGUGUUCUGGACUGUGUCGUCUGCUUCCCAUUCAAGACUGGAAGUGACAUACUCCUUGUAUUUGGUGACUAUCUUUCGAGCUAUGCAAAUGGGAGACGACAAACAGUAAAGGACAUAAGAUCUCAUCUUAUCUGUGAUGGGAUAGUUCCGACUUACACAAAAUGGAUAUGACAUGGGGAAUCGUCGAACAUGGCAACAGUCUCACAGGCUAAGCCGGUAAAUGAAGACAUUGGAAAUCGAUUCCUGUUGUACCUGUUACAGAUGGCUAUGUUAUUGGGAGUAGCAUCAAAUCGAUUCCUAUUGUUGGAAAGGAUAUUACUCUUUUUGUUCAACAGCUUAUGCGGGGGUUCGAGGGUUCUGUCAUAACAUGGAAAAGAAAGAUCCCUUAGAAGGCA